CUCCAGUGACAGUUUUUCUGACAGUACAUUUUUUCAGAGAGUGUACUCAGACUCAGAGAGGGAUCGGUGCUUUUGGGUUUUUAGUUCUUUUCCUGCCUGGUUUGCUUGACUUAACACCUGAUUCUGGAUAACUAGAGUGUGAGUAGUCCCUCAGAUUUUCAAGAGGAUUUAAAUCUGGGGAUUUUGCAGGCCAGUCCAGAUGUGUGAAUACUCCUGAAUGUUGUCAAAACACCCCCAGAACAUCACAGAGCCUCCUCCAGCUUGAACCACACCUGGCACGCAGUCCUCAUUGAAGGCUUACUGAGGUCUACGAUGAACACGAUGCCUAGCAUCAUUCACAUACACACAAAAACGAGAUUCAUCUGCCCAGAAAACAAGUUUUUCAGUCAUAACAGCCCAAUGUCUUUUCACCCACUGUAACUGGGCAACUUUGUGAGCAGAGGUAAGCAAAGGCCUCUUGUGUGCCACUCUGCUCUAUAUGUUCAUGGUAUGCAGUUCCCUGUGGAGUCUUCUUUCAGAAAUUGGUUGUGAAGGACCUGCGUUGACUUCUAGAAGCAAUUCUUGCCUGGAAGCUGCACAUCUGCUUUGCGACCCAUUUUCUACACAUCCAACGAGACAUUGCCCGUCGCACACCCUGCAGGUAUUUAUAGCCUGAUCAUCUUCGUGCAACGCCAUCUGCAGGAGCCUGAAGUUAUUACCACCUUAAACAUGCAAGUUGACUAUUUUUUUGUCCAGGGAGCUUAUAUGAAGUAUAUUAAUCUAGGAUUCACUAGUGUAAAAUUGGUGGUAUAAGAGGUCCAACAAGGAUGUUAUGGGCGCUGCGUCACCAGAGAUAUCACUGCACUAUGUGACCCAGUGCAAAUGCACUUACAAACUACAAAAUUUAUUUUUAAUAAUCCCUGCUUUUCUGUAUACCAUCUGAAAAGUAAGUGCUUUCAGUAUAUGCAUACCUCCCAAAAAAUACCAAAUAGCAAAUAUUCAACAUGCCAUAAAAUAAGACAGCACCACUGCGUCAGUUAUGAAAACAUCACUUAACAGAACAUCACAGAAAAAAAAAGUAAAGAAAACAUGCUUACCAGGGAUUUUGAUUUCAUUGCAGUUAUCAAAAUCACAGCAGGAGAUAAAAUUAAAGAGACUUGACUCUCCAGUGUUAGCUGAGUAAAUUAUGCCUGAUGCAGCUCCAUUCAGAAGAGUACAGAUGUCUUGUGUGUCGCAAAAACGUGCAACUGAAGUACUGUUCCCAUAUCCUAAGCAGACAUGUGAAAAUAACAUCCAUAUUAUAGCAUGUCUUAUUUUAUUGAAUAUUUAGUUACAGUCUGAUAGCAUACAUUCAGAACCUGAAUGAUAUUUAAUUAGCAUUAAAAAAGAGACCUCCAAAGCUUACCUGAUACAGAAAAAUUAGUUCUCCCAGCAGAACACAGUGAGCCUGUUGGACACUCAAUUGAAUCUGUGGUGCUACACUGACCCGAUUCACCUCUACACUGGAGACACUGCAGUGUGUACACUGGGAAAAGAGCAAAUUCAUCAGGAAGUCAAUGUAUGGACACUAAAACCAUGUUAUUGACUUUGAUACCACUUUAAAAUAAGACUACCUUUAUAAAGGCUUUAUGUGUGGUUUAAAGGUAGCUUAUUAAUGGUUAUUGUGUCAUAAACACUUUAAAUCAUGAAUGGGCACUUAAGUAAAUGCAUCAUUAAAAAGGGAAACAGUGGCCUGUGGUUUGCCAAAUAGUGAGCCCACAUUCAUCUAUACUCUUAAACCUCUGAUCCUACUGGUUACUUAUCUUACUUUGUCUUCAGCAUCAGUUACCAUUAAACCUGUGAGCUUCAACAGAUCUUUCUUAAUAAGUUACCACUUUUUAAUCACCAACAGGAUGUUUUAUUAGAAAUGACUAAAUUCACAUUCAAAGGUUUUCAUCUGUUGUUCAUCUGUUGUUCAUCUGUUUCACAUGGUAUCUGCCAUUAUCCUUACGAUUGUCAUAAGUAUUGAUAUAAUGCUGCCAAGUUUUAAUAUACAUCAGACACAAAGGUGGAACUACUAUGAUCCUUGGGGUUGGGUGGUUUUCCACGUGUGGCACAGUUUAAAACCUGUUUUCCUUUUUUCAUGGGUUAGAACUGAUUAAUGAUUUUCAUGGCAUUUAUGACCUAAUUAAUAAAUAAUUUUUAAUCCAUU